rnacentral:rRNA from 1 species
GGGGAAAGCAGGGGAUCGCAAGACCUUGCACUAUUGGAGCGGCCGAUAUCGGAUUAGCUACCUGGUGGGGUAACGGCUCACCAAGGCGACGAUCCGUAGCUGGUUUGAGAGGACGACCAGCCACACUGGGACUGAGACACGGCCCAGACUCCUACGGGAGGCAGCAGUGGGGAAUUUUGGACAAUGGGGGAAACCCUGAUCCAGCCAUCCCGCGUGUGCGAUGAAGGCCUUCGGGUUGUAAAGCACUUUUGGCAGGAAAGAAACGUCGCGGGUUAAUACCUCGCGAAACUGACGGUACCUGCAGAAUAAGCACCGGCUAACUACGUGCCAGCAGCCGCGGUAAUACGUAGGGUGCAAGCGUUAAUCGGAAUUACUGGGCGUAAAGCGUGCGCAGGCGGUUCGGAAAGAAAGAUGUGAAAUCCCAGAGCUUAACUUUGGAACUGCAUUUUUAACUACCGGGCUAGAGUGUGUCAGAGGGAGGUGGAAUUCCGCGUG